rnacentral:rRNA from 1 species
GACGAACGCUGGCGGCGUGCCUAACACAUGCAAGUCGAACGGAAAGGCCCUGCUCUUGUUGGGUGGUCGAUUGGCGAACGGGUGAGUAACACGCGUGGAAACUGCCCUUGACUGUGGGAUAAAUUCUGGAAACUGGGGCUAAUACCGGAUAGGAUCUUCUGCUGCAUGGGGUGGGUAGGAAAGUGUCGGCGGUUGUGGAUCGAAUCGCGGGUUAUCAGCUGGAUGGUGGGGUAGUGACUGACCAGGGCUUUGACGGGUAGGCGGCCUGGGAGGGUGACCGGCCACAUUGGGACUGAGAUACGGCCCAGACUCCUACGGUAGGCGGCAGUGGGGAAUCUUGCACAAUGGGCGGAAGCCUGAUGCAGCAGCGCCGCGUGCGGGAUGACGGCCUUCGGGUUGUGAACCGCUUUCGCCUGUGACGAAGCGUGCGUGACGGUAAUGGAUAAAGAAGCACCGGCUAACUACGUG